AGAGGCGUUUGCAGGCUACUGUGUUAUCUGUUGACGGGCACGUAUGGGGGAAUUAAUGCACAACAGACAUAUUAUUACAUGGCAUCUCUGCAUUGGGAAUUCCUGAUUCAGUUAAUAAUUACGAUAAUAAUCCUUGCCACCCACAGUAAUAUCCUGUAUUUAUUAAGUACUAAUCAGCCAGUUUGCUUCCUGGAAGAGAAAAACUGUGACAGACCAGCCAGGAGCAAUGCGGGCAAAGCGGGCUCAACCUCAAGGAUUCCAUUUGAAGAGGUGGACUGAGGACGCCAUAUCUGCUGCAUUUCACCUCUCCCUAUCUCACCUAGACGAGGGAGACACUUACAUUAGAAUACUGUUCAUGGACUCGGCAGUCAACACCAUCAUCCCCAAAGUCUGUACAUGAAACUGAGCGAGCUGGGACUGAACACCUCUCUCUGCAACUGGAUACUGGACUUUCUGUCAGAGAGGCCUCAGUCCGUCUGUAUCUGCGACAACAUUUCCAGCCCCAUCAGACUGAGCACAGGAGUCUUCAGGGCUGCGUUCUCAGUCCACUAUUGCUCCCACUGUUGACCCACAACUGCACUGCUACACACAGCUAUGACCACAUCAUCAAGUUUGCAGAAGACACGACUAUGGUGGGGAUCAUCAGCCACAACGAUGAGUCAGCAUACAAAGAUGAGGUUCAUCAACUGGCUGUCUGGUGCAGUGAGAACAACCUGUCACUGAACGUGGACAAAAUUGCUUCAGGCAAUCCUGCUCCACCCACAUCCAUACACCACUCAGCAUCAACGGCUCCACGAUGGACACUGUUAAGAAGGCCUUGUUUCUGGGAAACGUUUUCUCCAUCACCAAGAAGGCUCAGCAGUGUCUUCACUUCCUAAGGCGACUGAAGUGGGCCAGCCCCCCCCCCCAGUCCUCACUGUGUUCUACAGGGGCACCAUAGAGAGCGUCCUGACCAGCUGCAUCUCCGUUUGGUUCGGCAAUGCCAGCCUGCAAAUUGUAAAUGCAUCUGGGAACAUCACUGGCGCAUCUCUCCCCUCGCUGCAGGAGAUCUUCCGGAAACACUGCAUCAGGAAGGCUUCCUGCAUUAUGCUUGACUCCUCACACCACUCACACGAACUGCUCACACUGUUCCCAUCUGGCAGACGCUAUUGCAGCAUCAGGGAGCAAUCCACCUGACUGCGCGACAGCUUAUUCCCACACGUAGCAUCAGCAUACAAAGUACAUUCUGCGAUUGUGACUGCAGUUUUCUCUACUUAACUGAUGCAAUAUUCGCACAUUAUUGAACAUUGUUUGCAUAUAUCUUUGUUGUUUUCUGUUACAUAAUUGCACAUAUUAUUGGACUACUCACAAUGAAAUGAAAUACCCCCUGUCAAUUGUGUGUGUGUGGUAGCACUUAUGUAUGUGGUAGAACUUAUCUCAGAAUUGGAUUUUUUCCUCAUUCAAUGUAGAAUUGCGUAAAUAUUUUAUACUUAUUUAGAAUAAGUUUGAAGUUAUUACAGUGAAAGUGUUUUUCUUCUUUGGUCUGCUUAAAAGUUAUAUGGUUGUUUAGUUGCUUGAUAACAGUAAUUGCUAGAAGAAUAGUCAUCAGCUAUAUAUUCUAUUCUAUAUAUUUUCCAAUGCAUACUUAUUUUUCAGAUGAAAAGCCUGCCAGCCUCACUAUGUUAUUGGGUGUUAUACUAGUGGGGGGUGGGGGAGCAUUUGUGAUCAGGUGACUCAAAUGCUUGAUAUUUGCUGAUUAUAAACUACCCAGCUGUUAUCUUGAAACAGCACCGUGGUGGUAUGUGUGGACCACUAGAUUAAAAAAAAAAAACACUCCUGUUGCGUGUUAAGCUAUAUCCCUUUGUAGCAUCACAACUUUAGGUGCCUGUUAAGCUCCACCCAUAUUGCCUGGUAUUCUCUGUCAUAAUAAUAAUUGAUACUUUUAUUGA